rnacentral:rRNA from 1 species
GACGAACGCUGGCGGCGUGCUUAACACAUGCAAGUCGAACGGAAAGACCCUGCUUUUGUUGGGUGCUCGAGUGGCGAACGGGUGAGUAACACGUGAGUAACCUGCCCUUGACUUUGGGAUAACUUCAGGAAACUCGGGCUAAUACCCGAUAGGAGCUCCUGCUGCAUGGUGGGCGUUGGAAAGUUUCGGCGGUUGGGGAUGGACUCGCGGCUUAUCAGCUUGUUGGUGGGGUAGUGGCUUACCAAGGCUUUGACGGGUAGCCGGCCUGAGAGGGGGACCGGCCACAUUGGGACUGAGAUACGGCGCAGACUCGUACGGGAGGCAGCAGUGGGGAAUAUUGCAGAAUGGGCGGAAGCCUGAUGCAGCAACGCCGCGUGCGGGAUGACGGCCUUCGGGUUGUAAACCGAUGUCGCCUGUGACGAAGCGUGAGUGACGGUAAUGGGUAAAGAAGCACCGGCUAACUACGUG